rnacentral:misc_RNA from 1 species
GAUGAAGAACGUAGCAAAAUGCGAUAAGUAAUGUGAAUUGCAGAAUUCCGUGAAUCAUCGAAUCUUUGAACGCACAUUGCGCCCGCCAGUAUUCUGGCGGGCAUGCCUGUUCGAGCGUCAUUUCAACCAUCAAGCCCCCCGGCUUGUGUUGGGGACCUGCGGCUGCCGCAGGCCCUGAAAUCCAGUGGCGGGCUCGCCGUAGCACCGAGCGUAGUAGCACACUUCUCGCUCCGGUAGCAGCGGCGGGCGCUUGCCGUAAAACCCCCCCUAAAAUCUCAAGGUUGACCUCGGAUCAGGUAGGAAUACCCGCUGAACUUAAGCAUAUCAAUAAGCGGAGGA